CCUACGGGCGGCAGCAGUGGGGGAUAUUGCACAAUGGGGGGAACCCUGAUGCAGCGACGCCGCGUGAGCGAUGGAGUACUUCGGUAUGUAAAGCUCUGUCAGCAGGGAAGAAAAUGACGGUACCUGACUAAGAAGCCCCGGCUAACUACGUGCCAGCAGCCGCGGUAAUACGUAGGGGGCAAGCGUUAUCCGGAUUUACUGGGUGUAAAGGGAGCGUAGACGGCGCGGCAAGUCUGAAGUUAAAGGCAGGGGCUUAACCCCUGAACUGCUUUGGAAACUGCCAUGCUAGAGUGCUGGAGAGGUAAGGGGAAUUCCUAGUGGAGCGGUGAAAUGCGUAGAUAUUAGGAGGAAAACCAGUGGCGAAGGCGGCUUACUGGACGGUAACUGACGCGGAGGCUCGAAAGCGUGGGGAGCAAACAGGAUUAGAUACCCGAGUAGUC
rnacentral:rRNA from 1 species